CUCCAUAGCAGCAAAGAAAAAAAACUGUUAACGAAAGAACCAAUCAGAGUGAGUCAGAGUGUAUAUAAGUCCAAGCAUGACCAAUCAUUUCCUCUUGACUAAUGCGACAUCACAAAUUCAUAGUAUAACAAACAUGUCUGAUUCAAAUUGAUCCAACUUAAUCCAACAUGGAAACCAGUAAGGAAUACAGUCUUCUCCAUCAUCCAUAAGACUUGUUAAACUGAAAGGAAAGAGAGAUUAGUAUCAGUGAUACGGAACAGACCGUAUGAAGCAAAUGUCUAUGAGCAUAUAUAUAAACUCUUUAAUGAUUACCCAUAAGAUGUUAUUGUUCUAAAUCAAU